CCCCUAGAUGUUCUGGGCCGCACGCGCGCUACACUGAACAGUUCAACAAGUCUUAACCUUGGCCGAUAGGUCUGGGUAAUCUUUGAACGCUGUUCGUGAUUGGGAUAGACCUUUGCAAUUAUGGGUCUUCAACGAGGAAUUCCUAGUAAACGCAAGUCAUCCGCUUGCAUUGAUUACGUCCCUGCCCUUUGUACACACCGCCCGUCGCACCUACCGAUUGAAUGGUCCGGUGAAAUCUCGGGACGGCGGCUUGGUCGCUUGCGUCCGACUGCUGAAACUUGAUUAAACCAUAUCAUUUAGAGGAAGGUGAAGUCGUAACA
rnacentral:rRNA from 1 species